rnacentral:lncRNA from 1 species
UCACCACCAUCCCUAGAGAGUGGACAGCCAGCAGCACCUGUCUGCGUGGGGCAGCUGUUUUCGUUGGCACAGUACUUCAACAGCAGUAAGUGGGCAAGAAAUAAUUGGGCAGCUCCUCUUGGCCUACGAUGUUGCCUUACUGAGAGCGACCAGAUUGGCGCGCAGAAAGCAGGGCCUUCCCAAGGAGCCCACCCGCGGCGUGCGCUCCCUAAAGGGCUCUCGGCCUCCGCAGCUGGGCCUCCUCCCGCGUCCCCGGUGCCACGGCUCCGCAAAGCCUCCUGCAGGAAGCGAGGGGGGACCUCCUCUCGGCUCCCUAAGCCUGGGGGACACCCAGGGGAGGCGCGGGCGGGAGUGUGGGCCGGUGCCACUGAAGCCUACGGAGCAGGAGGCGGGAGCCCGCACCCCGGCCACUUCCAAGUGACCCCCAGCGUCCGCCCGCCUGUGAGCCCGCCGCCGGCGAAGAAGGCCUCGGGCAAUGGGCCAGGGCAGCGCGGGCCUGGGCGCCCAGGCGUCCCUCGACCCCCCGCUCUCGGCUUUUGGGGCGCGGGGCAAGAAAGCGCAGAGAAUUGCAGCAGCCCACGACCCCCACCUCAGCCUCCAACCCCCGGAAAGGGCCCUGAGGCCCAGAGCAGCUGCCCUCCCCUCCCUCGGAACCCGCGUCCUUGUCUACUGCGAGGGGGGUGGGGUGGGGAGCUCAGGGGCACAGGGAGGGAGCCCUCGGGGCAGGAGCGGGCAGGCGGGGCGGUGGGGCAGAGGGCCCCCGACAUGGAGGGGCACCGGCUACGCCGGGCCGGGCCGCAGUGCCCUUCUGGGACCCUUCUGCCACCCGCAGGCCUCACCCCGAGCCGCCACAGGUGCCUUCGGGUCAAAGUCAGGGCGAAUCCCACCCCUUGCAGGGGCCACUCCUUUGUGCCGAGCUCCUCAGGCGAUUGCUUUAGUAACAGGAGGUCUGGAAGGAAGAGAGGCGGGGUCCCCUCGUGGCAAGGAGAGACGCAGGAGCCCCGAGGCGGCCCGGGAUGCAGGCGACUGGUGAAAAAACCAAAGGGCGUCAGCUCGAAUCUCUCAGAGGGCGAUUUUAACUCGCAGAGAGGCUCAGCAUACGGUUUCCAUGUUGGGCGGCGGAUACAAAGAACCACUGGGAGCCAAGGGAAUCUCCUGACAUCGCAGGCCCAGCCAUCCCGAUCUAGGGGGCCUGAGUGGCAGCGGGCUGGAUGUUUGGUUGAGUCGCAAUUAAAACGAGAUCAUUACGCCGAGCCUCUCAGCUUGUUCAUAGGUAUCGCUGGGAGCGACAGGACUCCGCUCCCUCGAGGCGGACUUUUCAGGCCCGGGAGGAGCGGAGCCCGGUGUCUCUGGGCCUGA